rnacentral:tRNA from 1 species
GCCGGAGUGGCGGAACUGGCAGACGCGCGCGACUCAAAAUCGCGUUCCUAACGGAGUGUGGGUUCGACUCCCACCCCCGGCA